rnacentral:rRNA from 1 species
AUUGAACGCUGGCGGCAGGCCUAACACAUGCAAGUCGAGCGAGCGGCGGACGGGUGAGUAAUGUAUGGGAAUCUGCCCGAUAGAGGGGGAUAACUACUGGAAACGGUGGCUAAUACCGCCUACCAUCGGAUGAACCCAUAUGGGAUGAGCUAGUUGGUGGGGUAAAGGCUCACCAAGGCGACGAUCCCUAGCUGGUCUGAGAGGAUGAUAAGCCACACUGGAACUGAGACACGGCCCAGACUCCUACGGGAGGCAGCAUUGGGGAAUAUUGCACAAUGGGCGCAAGCCUGAUACAGCCAUGCCGCGCGUAUGAAGAAGGCCUUAGGGUUGUAAAGUACUUUCAGCGGGGAGGCGUUACCCGCAGAAGAAGCACCGGCUAACUCCGUGCCAGCAGCCGCGGUAAUAC